UUCCAGAGAAAAAGAGAGCGGUGAACAACCCCCUUCCACAUUAACAAACACAAAAAUCUGCAAAUCAAAAGGGAAAUCAAGGUGAUUCCAUUUCUUUUUGAGGAAAUUUGAUUAUCUAACAUCAAGCAAACUUAAGGCAACUCAAGUGACACACCGGUAGACCAAACGGGAAAGGAUACUUGUCUCAAAGGGAAGCUUUAAGGCAAACUAAACAUGAGGCACUGGAUGGAAGACCAAGCUACUCAAAGAACCGAACAUACCCAAAUGCCUACUAAUUUCUGUCUUUUUUCUUGUUCAUGUUUCUGUAAAAUGUUAAAAUGAUGACUUGUGGUUUGAGUCAAACCAUUACACUACUUUUGUUAAACAUGUAUUUUUGUUUAUUCAAAAAAUUAAUGUAUAAUCUUAUAUUUUUUGA